rnacentral:rRNA from 1 species
AUGGUCUACAUGGCGGUGCCAACCCUGAAUCAGACGUUAAAACUAUAUGUACACAACCAAUUGAAGGACGCAAGAAACCAACAGAUCGGCCAAUCGAUCGAUCGGCGUUCCAUCCUCCAGGGAUCAGCCGGGCCUGGCUGCCUAAUACCCGGCGGCCACGUCGUCGCCGGCGGCGGUGGCGCCCUGCUUCUUCUUCUGGACCUUGCCCUUGAUCCACUGGAAGCCGUGCGCGGUGCCCUCCUUCACCUUCUUCAGCCCCGUGGCCGCGGCCGCCUUGGUCUUCUCCACGCCGCCGCCGACGCCGCCCUGCUUCUUGCCGCCGGCCCGCGGGGCCGGGUCGCUGCCGUAGUCCCACUGGUCCGCCCACGACGAGCCGAACGAGUUCUUGCGCUCCAUCAAGAACGAUCUCAAUCAAGAGACGAACAAAAGCUUCUCCUGCGGUCAGUCGGGGCGAGAAUGGCGGGGUUUUAUAGCGGCAUGCGCGGCUCCGCUUCGGGCAACCAAUCAACGGGGAGGCGAUCUUCCAGAAGACACGCGUGGGAGGAAACGUACGCGGAGGUGUCCGGAUACGUCCGGGAACGGGACGCGGUGGUUUCGUUGGCUGCUUGGUUGGUUCUCCUUCCCGCGGCGCUGCAUGCCAGCUUUGACCGGCGUCACUCACGACGGGGGCUGCGGUCCAUCCAUGCGACCUGGGCUGCGUGUCCGAAGCUUCCAGACGUGGAGACGCCGACCGGUGGGCCUGCGGAGAUCGUCGUGGCCCGCGUGUCGGUCUACAGGUAUUCUGGUGGACGUCAACUGUACUUUGGAAUUGAGAAAGGAAGUCAUGUGGGUAUACUAAUGCGUGCAUGGACCAAGUGGACAGGCGACCAAACAAACUAUAUUAACAAAAGCAAUAGAAUUUUUCCCGGCGAUGCCUCAAAAUUCUCUCUCCCGGAUAGGACACACGCCCGCGGGGAUCCUGAGUCGCUGUUGCCGAUAGCCCGAUCAACAGCAGCAACUACCAUUUGGCCGGACAGAGGUUACAAAAAUAGUGUGAUAAUCAGCGUGACCGUGUCUUGGCGGCAAACCAACGACCAGUAA